rnacentral:tRNA from 1 species
AUGAUAAUUAGUUUAACCCAAAACAAAUGAUUUCGACUCAUUAAACUACGAUUUAAACUCGUAAUUAUCAC